rnacentral:rRNA from 1 species
AUGAGUGCCGCGAUUCAUGCUGAAAUCUUUCUAGCAAGUGACUCGCUUGUUUCAGGCUGCCCCACUCUCCGCCCAGUUUAUAUCUUUUAUUCCAGGUUUCUUUAUCUUCUCCUUAAAAAAAAUCUUUUCACCUACCUAUCUUUCCCAAUUCGGGGUUCAGUAGUAAACAAUUGUGUUUAUUUCCAGCUUUUUUCUCUAAAUUACUUGUAUAAGCUACUAGAUUUUGCAGCUGUAUUGUUCAAGAGUUCUAGUGUUUUAUUUAUAUGUUUUUUUUGGGAUGUUGUACUGGAAGUAUUGUGGUGA